GCUUUAGCACUCUCUCCGGUUGCACUAGAGUGGGGCAGUGUACUGUACACACUCUCGAGCCAUCGCAGACAGUGACUUGAUGCAUCAGACCCAUGGGUUGUAGCGUCCAAGUUGGUAAGAUAUGGCCUAGGCUGGACUCGGGUUGAAUUCUUGGUAGUAUGGCCACCGAGUGUGGCACUGCCUCAGACUUGAACUUUAAUAGCCCAAUAUAUUAGCCGGCCGGCUGUAUACUACGGCCAAAGUCUUAGUAGCUAGUUAACGGUAGUUUGGAGUGAAGUGCAGCACUUGAUUGUGCUGCAUUGCAAGCUGCCGGCCUGGCAGCCGUGAGGUUUAUAAGCCAUUAAACUGUAUACUAG
rnacentral:misc_RNA from 1 species